rfam:TPA: Bos taurus chromosome 18, whole genome shotgun sequence.
UCCCUGGUGUCUCAGAUGGUGAGGAAUCCAUCUGCAAAGUGGAAGACCUGGGUUCAAUCCCUGGGUUGGGAA